rnacentral:rRNA from 1 species
UACGGGGGGAGCAAGCGUUGUUCGGAUUUACUGGGCGUAAAGGGCGCGUAGGCGGUCGAGCACAAGUCAGUUGUGGAAAUCUCCGGGCUUAACUCGGAAAGGUCAACUGAUACUGUGCGACUAGAGUGCGGAAGGGGCAACUGGAAUUCUCGGUGUAGCGGUGAAAUGCGUAGAUAUCGAGAGGAACACCUGCGGCGAAGGCGGGUUGCUGGGCCGACACUGACGCUGAUGCGCGAAAGCCAGGGGAGACAAACGGG